GAUAAAGCCUAUUAUUACCUCAAUUUUACCAGUGAGGACCUGAGCUCUGUGGCUGUGAAGAAUACAGCUCAUGCACAGGAAAUAUUUGGCUAAGACACGGCCACUUAUGAUGUCUACAUAAAUAACAGGAUCAGGACUUUGACCCAGCAGCCCUGGAAGCUCACAAAGACACUGUGCUGUGAUCCUGGAAAGAAAGAGAAGAGAGAGAAGGCCAAGUACGGUGGCUCACACCUGUUAUCCCAGCACUUUGGGAGGCCAAAGUAGGAAGAUAGCUUGAAGUCAGGAGUUCAAGAAAGGGAAGAGAGGAGCACUGUAGGGGAAGGCUGAGGCAGAGCUUUCUCUGAGCUAAAAGAGGCCAGAUGUUGGCAACAGUGCCUCUAUGGUAGAAACUGAGGCCUGCACUAUGUUGGAAACAGAAGCUCAGAGGGGAAACCCCAGAAAGAAACUCCCAAAGUCACCCCUGAUUCAUCCAUGUCCCAAACCUGAUAUAAAAGCCAUGGAGCCACUGGACCAAAUGACCAUGAAGCAGCAGCCCCUGAGAGUGUCAGAAUUCAAGUAUGACUUGGUGGCCUGUGAUAGAUGGCCAGCUGAGGAGGCCUUCCUAACACCUUGGUGCUGUGUCACUCCCUAGGAGCUGGGCCAACUAUGGGAAUGAAGAGGAAACUGGAAAAAGAACCUGUAACGCCUGAGAUCGCCUGACCACCAACCCAGCAGGAUGGCUGCUGGGGUCUUAUUAAAUUAGCAAAAAAGAAACUAAAAGUGAUUUGUCAAGUAAGUCACAGCUCACUUCAUCACUAUCUUUUUUACUGUGAUGUAUUUUAUGCUGAAUUAAAGAAAAUAAAUGCUAUAUUGC